AUGGCGCAGGGAAGCGGCGGUGCGACCGCCGUGCUCGCGCUGCUCCUCCUCUGCGUGCUCCUCCACGGCGACUUCGCCGAGUCCAAGGUGUACACCGUCGGCGACCGCGCCGGCUGGGCCCUCAGCUCCGGCGGCUGGCCCAGGGGCAAGCGCUUCCGCGCCGGCGACGUGCUGCUGUUCAAGUACGGGCGCGGGGCGCACAACGUGGUGGCGGUGAACGCGGCGGGGUACAAGUCGUGCAGCGCGGCGAGGGGCGGCCGGACGUACAACUCCGGCAGCGACCGCGUCACGCUCGCCCGCGGCACCAACUACUUCAUCUGCAGCGUCCCCGGCCACUGCCAGGCCGGCAUGAAGAUGGCCGUCACCGCCGCAUGA
rnacentral:rRNA from 1 species